rnacentral:rRNA from 1 species
GUCGACGAACUUCUUUAUCACCGAGUGCUUGCACUCACCGAUAAAGAGUUGAGUGGCGAACGGGUGAGUAACACGUGGGCAACCUGCCCAAAAGAGGGGGAUAACACUUGGAAACAGGUGCUAAUACCGCAUAACCAUAGUUACCGCAUGGUAACUAUGUAAAAGGUGGCUAUGCUACCGCUUUUGGAUGGGCCCGCGGCGCAUUAGCUAGUUGGUGGGGUAAAGGCUUACCAAGGCAAUGAUGCGUAGCCGAACUGAGAGGUUGAUCGGCCACAUUGGGACUGAGACACGGCCCAAACUCCUACGGGAGGCAGCAGUAGGGAAUCUUCCACAAUGGGCGAAAGCCUGAUGGAGCAACGCCGCGUGGGUGAAGAAGGUCUUCGGAUCGUAAAACCCUGUUGUUAGAGAAGAAAGUGCGUGAGAGUAACUGUUCACGUUUCGACGGUAUCUAACCAGAAAGCCACGGCUAACUACGUGCCAGCAGCCGCGGUAAUACGUAGGUGGCAAGCGUUAUCCGGAUUUAUUGGGCGUAAAGGGAACGCAGGCGGUCUUUUAAGUCUGAUGUGAAAGCCUUCGGCUUAACCGGAGUAGUGCAUUGGAAACUGGGAGACUUGAGUGCAGAAGAGGAGAGUGGAACUCCAUGUGUAGCGGUGAAAUGCGUAGAUAUAUGGAAGAACACCAGUGGCGAAAGCGGCUCUCUGGUCUGUAACUGACGCUGAGGUUCGAAAGCGUGGGUAG